rnacentral:misc_RNA from 1 species
UAUAUAAUGUAUUUGGAUUUAGAAUCUUACAUAAUGAAAGAACUUUGACGGGGAGAUGUCUUUUGACUACCGUAUGUAAAGAUGCCUGAUGAUGGUCCAAUAAAGGAUCGAAACGUCGCAUGAAUUUGCAAUUGGUGGUUUGAUUGGCACCCUAUGUCCACUUUCCUGCUAAUCGUCAAAGAAUAUUUAUAAUAAAUGGACACAACGAUAAAUAAUAUAUAA